rnacentral:misc_RNA from 1 species
UCCCGUGACCUGAGCGCCCUUA